rnacentral:lncRNA from 1 species
GGUGGAAGAAUGCCCAGUCCUCCUGACAUCUUAAUCUAUCUGCCAACGCUACAUGCCGUCAAGCCAAGGAAGAAUUUCCUUCUCACUGUUGCUUCUCUGACCAAGGAAGACAUAAGCACAACCAAUCACCAGACUGAUGAAAUUCCUUCCAGUUUCAGAAAAGAUUAUCACCAAUCCCUACAUUAUAAAAUUCAUACUAAUAAAGCAC